UACAGAGGGGGCAAGCGUUGUUCGGAAUUACUGGGCGUAAAGGGCGCGUAGGCGGCCUUCUAAGUCGAACGUGAAAUCCUCGGGCUCAACCCGGGAACUGCGUCCGAUACUGGAAGGCUUGAAUCCGGGAGAGGGAUGCGGAAUUCCAGGUGUAGCGGUGAAAUGCGUAGAUAUCUGGAGGAACACCGGUGGCGAAGGCGGCAUCCUGGACCGGCAUUGACGCUGAGGCGCGAAAGCCAGGGGAGCAAACGGG
rnacentral:rRNA from 1 species